rnacentral:rRNA from 1 species
UGGGAAACAGGUUAAUAUUCCUGUACUUGGUGUUACUGCGAAGGGGGGACGGAGAAGGCUAUGUUGGCCGGGCGACGGUUGUCCCGGUUUAAGCGUGUAGGCUGGUUUUCUAGGCAAAUCCGGAAAAUCAAGGCUGAGGCGUGAUGACGAGGCACUACGGUGCUGAAGCAACAAAUGCCCUGCUUCCAGGAAAAGCCUCUAAGCAUCAGGUAACAUCAAAUCGUACCCCAAACCGACA